rfam:Marinobacter sp. T13-3 scaffold_308, whole genome shotgun sequence.
UGCGGGGUGGAGCAGUCUGGUAGCUCGUCGGGCUCAUAACCCGAAGGUCGUUGGUUC